GGGCAGUACNAAGGGUCNCAAACCCGCGAGGGGGAGCCAAUCCCAUAAAACCGUUCUCAGUUCGGAUUGCAGUCUGCAACUCGACUGCAUGAAGCUGGAAUCGCUAGUAAUCGCGGAUCAGCAUNCCGCGGUGAAUACGUUCCCGGGCCUUGUACACACCGCCCGUCACAUCAUGAAAGCUGGUUGUACUAGAAGUCGCCGUGCUANCCGCGAGGAGGCAGGUGCCCAAGGUAUGACUAGUGAUUGGGGUGAAGUCGUAACAAGGUUNCC
rnacentral:rRNA from 1 species